AAGUCGUAACAAGGUUUCCGUAGGUGAACCUGCGGAAGGAUCAUUAAAGAAUACCGGCUUCGCAGCCACUAUUCUCACCCUUUGCAUACCAAACUUUGUUGCUUUGGCAGGCCCCUGGCUUCGGCUGGACCGCGCCUGCCAGAGGACCCCUAACUCUUGAAUCUCUGCUGUCUGAGUACUAUCUAAUAGUUAAAAACUUUCAACAACGGAUCUCUUGGUUCUG
rnacentral:misc_RNA from 1 species